AGUGGAGAUGGCUCCGCCCACUCUCUAACUCAGCAAGCGAGGAAGCUGCAGCCUCAGGGCUGGACGGAGAGUCAGUAUGAUGUGACAGAGUACUCUUCCAGCUAUAAAGACUUACCAUUCUACAACAGCCAAGUGAGUGAUUCAACCAGAACAUUGGUGGAGGCAGUGUACCAGACACUACACAUGCUUUAAGCCCAUUCAAAACAUUCACUCAUCAACCACCAAAAUUCUUCAAGCCAUUGAUGAAAGCCAGCCUCUCCUCAGUCAAGAGAGCAUGCCUUCAUCCCAGACACUUAGCACUGGCACUGCUGUGUCGUCAGGACCUAAUGACAUCUGCAUGUGAGUAGAAAACAAUAACACUCCUGAAGAUAUCAUUGAGUCGGAAGAAGAGGAUAAUGAAUUUAGUGGAAGCAGUAAAAAAAGGAAAACUUUCCAGCCUUAUGUCCCAGAAGAAUUUGCGGAUUUCAGUAUUUACAAUGCUAGUCUGGACAACAAGGACUGGGUCCACUCAAAAGCAGAUUUUAUUUGCUCUUGGCCUCUGGAGAAAGAGAUUUCUCGGAGUCCCACCACCAGCAGUAUUACUAGUGGCUACUUUUCUCAUAGUGCAUCCAACGCUACACUUUCUGACAUAAUGGUUCCCUCCAGUAACAGCAUGGAUCAUUUAGUUGCCUAUACUGGGGAUUUUGAAAGCCGAGAUGUUUAGCUUCACCAUUCUGCAAAUGAUCAUGUGUCUUACUCUCACAAGCGAUCGAACGGUAGUAUUUCUACAGACAACCAGCCUAACCUCAUAGAAAAAAGUGCCUUUGAUAAAGUGCCACAUUGCAGUACUGAAACAACUGCUGCUCUCCUGUUCAGAAGUGUGUCGUGCUCUUCUGUCGACUCCCCAACCUACAAAUCUAAAGUAAGCACUGUCAAUUUUCUGCCCAGUUAAGUUGCCGUGGAGCACACGUGUGCUAUAUUAGAAGAUCAUUCAUUCAGAGAGUUCAUGGGGGCUGAAGAUUUAUUUUCCAAUGGAGAUAAAGAUAGAGCUGACUGCAACUUAGUACCUGACCCCUCUAAUGAAACCCCUAGCCAACACUGGCUGACAGAGGAUGAUCAUGACUCAAACUGCCUCAGUGAUGCUGCCUUGUUUAGCAAAUCCCCCCUCAUUUCUCUGUCGAUAGUUCCCUUGAAAAAAAAUAAUUUACAUAUUUCUGACUGUGAAGAUAAUCCUUUCCACAACUCACUGUGUCUCACACUUGGCAAUCAAGUAUGCAUUGGGGAGAACAUAACUGGGACAGAGCGAUACAUUGGCACAGUCGAUUUUUCACAUGGUAUGUGGGUUGGAAUUGAGCUUCAUUCUCGGCUCGGUAAGAAGAAAAAGAAGCCAUUUUAUUGGCCUUUUUGCUUGUAUUCAGAAAUAUUUGCCUAUCCUAUGAAAUAAAACCAUGAAAAUAGAAAUAUGUUUACCCCAAGGUUUAUACUCCAAUGUAUAACACACAGCACUGCUACAAAGGAAUCUUGGGGGGGAAAGCCUUUAUUGGAACAUAUGGCUUCUGAUCUGGAAUGUGGCUUUCUGCUCCACAAGGAAGUCUCCUUCAGCUAUCCUCUAAUAAAGUUUCACCUACAAACGUUUACCUCUUUAUUUUAGUUUGGCUACUUUUUCCCAUGAGCAUAGUUUGGAGGGCAUA